rnacentral:rRNA from 1 species
UACGGAGGAUGCGAGCGUUAUCCGGGAUUUAUUGGGUUUAAAGGGUGCGUAGGCGGAUUAUUAAGUCAGUGGUGAAACCCUGCAGCUUAACUGUAGACUUGCCAAUGAUACUGAUAGUCUUGAGUAUGGUCGAGGUGGGCGGAAUGUGUAAUGUAGCGGUGAAAUGCUUAGAUAUUACACAGAACACCGAUAGCGUAGGCAGCUUGCUGGGCCGUUACUGACGCUGAUGCACGAAAGCGUGGGGAUCGAACCAGGA